rnacentral:rRNA from 1 species
AUUGAACGCUGGCGGCAUGCUUUACACAUGCAAGUCGAACGGUAACAGGUUAAGCUGACGAGUGGCGAACGGGUGAGUAAUGCAUCGGAACGUGCCCGAUCGUGGGGGAUAACGCAGCGAAAGCUGCGCUAAUACCGCAUACGAUCUGAGGAUGAAAGCGGGGGACCGUAAGGCCUCGCGCGAUCGGAGCGGCCGAUGUCAGAUUAGGUAGUUGGUGGGGUAAAGGCCCACCAAGCCGACGAUCUGUAGCUGGUCUGAGAGGACGACCAGCCACACUGGGACGGAGACACGGCCCAGAGUCCUACGGGAGGCAGAAGUGGGGAAUUUUGGACAAUGGGCGAAAGCCUGAUCCAGCGAUGCCGCGUGCAGGAAGAAGGCCUUCGGGUUGUAAACUGCUUUUGUACGGAGCGAAAAGGUCCUUUCUAAUACAAGGGGCUCAUGACGGUACCGUAAGAAUAAGCACCGGCUAACUACGUGCCAGCAGCCGCCGUAAAAC